GAUCAUGGCUCAGAGCGAACGCUGGCGGCAGGCUUAACACAUGCAAGUCGAACGGGCGUAGCAAUACGUCAGUGGCAGACGGGUGAGUAACGCGUGGGAACGUACCUUUGGUUCGGAACAACACAGGGAAACUUGUGCUAAUACCGGAUAAGCCCUUACGGGGAAAGAUUUAUCGCCGAAAGAUCGGCCCGCGUCUGAUUAGCUAGUUGGUGAGGUAACGGCUCACCAAGGCGACGAUCAGUAGCUGGUCUGAGAGGAUGAUCAGCCACAUUGGGACUGAGACACGGCCCAAACUCCUACGGGAGGCAGCAGUGGGGAAUAUUGGACAAUGGGCGCAAGCCUGAUCCAGCCAUGCCGCGUGAGUGAUGAAGGCCCUAGGGUUGUAAAGCUCUUUUGUGCGGGAAGAUAAUGACGGUACCGCAAGAAUAAGCCCCGGCUAACUUCGUG
rnacentral:rRNA from 1 species